rnacentral:rRNA from 1 species
GAUGAACGCUGACAGAAUGCUUAACACAUGCAAGUCUACUUGAAGCUAGCUUCGGCUAGUGGAGGGUGGCGGACGGGUGAGUAACGCGUAAAGAACUUGCCUCACAGACUGGGACAACAUUUGGAAACGAAUGCUAAUACCGGAUAUUAUGAAUUUUCCGCAUGGAAGAGACAUGAAAGCUAUAUGCGCUGUGAGAGAGCUUUGCGUCCCAUUAGCUAGUUGGAGAGGUAACGGCUCACCAAGGCGAUGAUGGGUAGCCGGCCUGAGAGGGUGAACGGCCACAAGGGGACUGAGACACGGCCCUUACUCCUACGGGAGGCAGCAGUGGGGAAUAUUGGACAAUGGACCAAAAGUCUGAUCCAGCAAUUCUGUGUGCAUGAUGAAGUUUUUCGGAAUGUAAAGUGCUUUCAGUUGGGAAGAAGCAAGUGACGGUACCAACAGAAGAAGCGACGGCUAAAUACGUGCCAGCAGCCGCGGUAAUACGUAUGUCGCAAGCGUUAUCCGGAUUUAUUGGGCGUAAAGCGCGUCUAGGUGGUUAUAUAAGUCUGAUGUGAAAAUGCGGGGCUCAACUCCGUAUUGCGUUGGAAACUGUAUGACUAGAGUACUGGAGAGGUAAGCGGAACUACAAGUGUAGAGGUGAAAUUCGUAGAUAUUUGUAGGAAUGCCGAUGGGGAAGCCAGCUUACUGGACAGAUACUGACGCUAAAGCGCGAAAGCGUGGGUAGCAAACAGG